UACGUAGGGUGCAAGCGUUGUCCGGAAUUAUUGGGCGUAAAGAGCUCGUAGGCGGUCUGUUACGUCGGCUGUGAAAACCUGGGGCUCAACUCCGGGCCUGCAACCGAUACGGGCAGACUAGAGUUCGGCAGGGGAGACUGGAAUUCCCAGUGUAGAGGUGAAAUUCGUAGAUAUUGGGAAGAACACCGGUGGCGAAGGCGGCUAUCUGGACUGUGAUUGACGCUGAGGCGCGAAAGCGUGGGGAGCAAACAGG
rnacentral:rRNA from 1 species